CUUGGGCUGUUGCUCGGCUCUGGCGGUUAGGCUUUUUCCUGCUUGCGGUUGACUGGCAGCGUGGGCGAGCUCCGCGCCUGCUACCCUGGCGUUACUUCCCGACUCCGCCUGUCGUAUCUAUGGCUAGGAUGACAGCAGCGUGAUGAGCAGUGUGUAGGUCGGCGUCAGGACAGCCGUGAAGCCCGGUGCAGGAAUUUAACCAAUACGCCACCAGCCGGCUCCUCGCUUUUUCUUUUUUAUGUAUCUGUUGAUAAAGAUCUACUUCCAUCACUCCAAGUGCAGGAUUAAAUUUUUUGUUUGUUUACGAUCAUGGUAUCAUGCUGUACCUUAUUCUGCAACUCAUCACUGUUUUUUGAUGUCUAAUUCACUCGCUGGAAGUGCAGCAGAUAGCAUUCCACUUCACGAACACACCGCAUUCUGUUAAUCCGUUGUGUAGGUGAUUAGCUGGCUCCCAGUUUUUCGCUCUUACAGUGAUCCCCUGCCCACCGUGCUCGCGUGCUGGGCCGCUUCAGGGUGGAUGGCUAGGAGUGGCACAGUUUGUGCACUUUCAAUUUUAACAGGAUAGGACUCGCGUCUUCCCCAGAUAGGCACCCAGAGCCACCCAGAAGCGGGUCGGCGGCGCACCGGACGAUCGGACAGACCCCGCUCAUAGCCGCCGCCCGGGGCUCCACGGCUGCCCUAGCGCAGCCGCUCUUCCCCGCCCCUCCCUCGGCGCCCGCCGAGACCUUCCCAGCAAGCACUGCACAUAUUUGCAUAGCAAUUCGCGUCCUUGCUUCACUUCAAAAAACAGAAAUGACAAAUCAAAGAGUCUUCUUGUGAAGACGUCCCUUUGCUUCAGAAGAUGUUGCAGUUCCUCUCUCAAACUCAGGAACAGGGAGUAGGAAAUGGCAUCGGCUUUGUUUUCACCUUUACCAAAAGAGAGGUUCGGCAACAGCGCCCCCCUGCUUUGAAUUUUUUCUUUUUAAAAAGGGCUUCUGUCGUGAGUGGCACACGUGGGGCAGCUCAAUUGCUCUUCGUGCGGAAUCGACAUCAAGAGAUUUCGGAAGCAUAAUUUUUUGGUACUCGGGCAGCUGGUGAUCGUUGGUCUCGGCGCCCCUGUU